rnacentral:lncRNA from 1 species
AAAGACCACAUCUCCCUCCCCGCUGAGGUUCACUGUAUGAAACCAUCUUAGAUUGUUGCGGGGUCAUGACUGAGACCCGUGGGCAGAGGCGGCCCUCCAUGGGGAAACCUACUUUGAGGUGGAGAGAGUCAGCUGCUGGCAGGGCAGAGACUCAUCUUGGGAAAAGUCUGGUUCUGGCACUUGUUCUAGCCUGGCCUUGUGCAAGGGCUUCAAAUCAAUGACUGAGAAGUUGGAGCCUGUGCUAUGGCGAUGGAGGGUUAUCUAGACUGCAUACUCUGAAAUUCAGUCCAGGAUGCUUGACCCAAGAAUCAAAGAGAGAAAAGAAAAUGGAGCCUUGCACGCUUUCUGGCAUCCCAGGAUUGUUACCCUGGUGGCUGUGAGACUCUGUGGUUUGGGUAUUCAAACGGUUGAUAAGGACAAAGACUGGUGAGUCCCUCCAGUGGGGAGAGACCCUGUUGCAAUGAUUUCUUGUUCCUGAAGCAAAACUCGGAGAGAAUAAGUCUCAAAGACAGCUGUGUUGAUUAUGUUGCUACCACACGCAGUCUCACGUCUCAGCUUCCAGGGAGGGCCUUCCAGGACAGUACGUGUCCCGAAGUGUGCCACCCUCUCCGGGAGAGCCAGCUGGUAGUUUUUGGCAGCUGGUGGCAUUGAACUUGAGCUUCGUUUUGGAAACAUCUUCUAAGACUCACCUGCUGCUACACCUAAUGGUACCAGACCUUGGGAGACAGUGUAGUCAGGAACCAAAGGGGCUCGUGCGAAGAAUGAGCUGGUGUGGUAGGAGACGGCCACAGAAGGGAAAACGCCUGAUUCUCCGUGGGCCUUCUCCACACACCGGGAGGCAGGCGUUCUUAGUGUCCUUCGCCCAGCUGCACCCCCACCAGUUUCAGAGGAAUGUCCAUGCUGGGAAUCUGGUUUUCCCCUGGAACGCCAUCUCUGUUUAACAUCAGAGGGUGAUGGAUUUUUUUAAACAGGAGAGUGGCUUGGCAUACUCCUCUACUGGCACAUCCACUUGUUAGGGAGGGGACCCCAUGUGCUGCAUCUUCAUGGGAGUUGUGGAAGCACCACAGAGAGUCAGUGGGCAUCUCGGCGGAAGACGAUUAGAAAGGAGUCUUCUCUGGACUGGGAAGCAUGUGAAGGAGGGCCGGAAGGGGGGCUGGAUGCGUGGAAUUCAGGUUUGUAUCACAGCUUCAGGAAGGCACUUUCAGCUGAUUGAGUAGCAUCUUGUCAUUAUUUAAGCUGCUGUCCAUCAGUAGUCUUAAAAUCCUUAUUCUCUUCUUGGUGACUUAUAGGAGAUUCUGACAUCAACUGUAAAAAGAAGAACAUUUAAAAUUCUAUUUACUUGAGAAUAAUUGUGAGGCCAAGUUGUAUCAGAAAAUCCAUUAAGUACUUAAAAGAUUAAUUUUCGUUAUGACUGCUAGUUAGUAAAUAUUAUCUUUUAUAUCAUCCUGAACAAUAAUAUGAGGGAUGGGAACUAUUUAACUUGUUUUGGUUUGAUUUUAAAACUUUAAUUAUGGUAAUAUUUGGCAUUAUUAUUAGUAUUAUAAGAGGACUGAAGCAAAUUACUUUUGGUGGUUGAUUUCUUGAAACAGUUUUUACUGGAUCACUGGAAAUGAAGCUUAAAUCCUGGAAGCAAGUGUAGAGAUGGGAGGAAAUUGAGUCUAAUGGGAGAAGAGUAAAGUUACCUGGGAAUUCCGAUUUAUUUUGGGCAAAAUCUCUUAUGGUUAGUUGCGUAAUGAUGAAGGAGUCGGUGUUCUGCCUGUUCAUUCAUUCAUUCAUUCAUUCAAUGAGUACUUACCGAAGCUGAUGCAUUCUUUUUUGGGGGGAGUGAUAUUAAUUUAAAAAAUUUUAUUUUUAAUAAGCAAUGUGUAGAUCUAAGAUAUACAAUAUGCUGAUUGGAUAUUCGUAUAUGUAGUGAAAUGAUUACUAUAGUAAAGCUAAUUAACAUAUCUUCUCCUUACGUAGUUACUGUCUUUGCUGUGAAAUGAG